GGGCGAGCGAUCUACCUGCAGUCGAGCGGACUCUUCGGAGUUAGUGGCGGACGGGUGAGUAACACGUGAGAAUCUGGCUCUAGGUCGGGGACAACAGUUGGAAACGACUGCCAAUACCGGAUGUGCCGUAAGGUAAAAGAUUUAUUGCCUGGAGAUGAGCUCGCGUCUGAUUAGCUAGUUGGUGGGGUAAAGGCUUACCAAGGCGACGAUCAGUAGCUGGUCUGAGAGGACGAUCAGCCACACUGGGACUGAGACACGGCCCAGACUCCUACGGGAGGCAGCAGUGGGGAAUUUUCCGCAAUGGGCGAAAGCCUGACGGAGCGGUACCGCGUGAGGGAGGAAGGCUCUUGGGUUGUAAACCUCUUUUCUCAAGGAAGAACACAAUGACGGUACUUGAGGAAUAAGCAUCGGCUAACUCCGUGCCAGCAGCCGCGGUAAUACGGAGGAUGCAAGCGUUAUCCGGAAUGAUUGGGCGUAAAGCGUCCGCAGGUGGUAUUGUAAGUCUGCUGUUAAAGCGUGAGGCUCAACCUCAUAAUGGCGGUGGAAACUACAAAACUAGAGUACGUUCGGGGCAGAGGGAAUUCCUGGUGUAGCGGUGAAAUGCGUAGAUAUCAGGAAGAACACCGGUGGCGAAAGCGCUCUGCUAGGCCGUAACUGACACUGAGGGACGAAAGCUAGGGGAGCGAAUGGGAUUAGAUACCCCAGUAGUCCUAGCCGUAAACGAUGGAUACUAGGCGUUGCUUGUAUCGACCCGAGCAGUGCCGUAGCUAACGCGUUAAGUAUCCCGCCUGGGGAGUACGCACGCAAGUGUGAAACUCAAAGGAAUUGACGGGGGCCCGC
rnacentral:rRNA from 1 species